rnacentral:ncRNA from 15 species
GCCUUGAUGGUGAAAUGGUAUACACGCGAGACUCCAAAUCUUGUGCUUAAGGGCGUAGAGGUGAGAGUCCUCUUCAAGGCA